rnacentral:rRNA from 1 species
GACGAACGCUGGCGGCGUGCUUAACACAUGCAAGUCGAACGGAAAGGCCCUGCUUUUGUGGGGUGCUCGAGUGGCGAACGGGUGAGUAACACGUGAGUAACCUGCCCUUGACUUUGGGAUAACUUCAGGAAACUGGGGCUAAUACCGGAUAGGAGCUCCUGCUGCAUGGUGGGGGUUGGAAAGUUUCGGCGGUUGGGGAUGGACUCGCGGCUUAUCAGCUUGUUGGUGGGGUAGUGGCUUACCAAGGCUUUGACGGGUAGCCGGCCUGAGAGGGUGACCGGCCACAUUGGGACUGAGAUACGGCCCAGACUCCUACGGGAGGCAGCAGUGGGGAAUAUUGCACAAUGGGCGGAAGCCUGAUGCAGCAACGCCGCGUGCGGGAUGACGGCCUUCGGGUUGUAAACCGCUUUCGCCUGUGAUGAAGCGUGAGUGACGGUAAUGGGUAAAGAAGCACCGGCUAACUACGUGCCAGCAGCCGCGGUGAUACGUAGGGUGCGAGCGUUGUCCGGAUUUAUUGGGCGUAAAGGGCUCGUAGGUGGUUGAUCGCGUCGGAAGUGUAAUCUUGGGGCUUAACCCUGAGCGUGCUUUCGAUACGGGUUGACUUGAGGAAGGUAGGGGAGAAUGGAAUUCCUGGUGGAGCGGUGGAAUGCGCAGAUAUCAGGAGGAACACCAGUGGCGAAGGCGGUUCUCUGGGCCUUUCCUGACGCUGAGGAGCGAAAGCGUGGGGAGCGAACAGGCUUAGAUACCCUGGUAGUCCACGCUGUAAACGGUGGGUACUAGGUGUGGGGUCCAUUCCACGGGUUCCGUGCCGUAGCUAACGCUGUAAGUACCCCGCCUGGGGAGUACGGCCGCAAGGCUAAAACUCAAAGGAAUUGACGGGGCCCCGCACAAGCGGCGGAGCAUGCGGAUUAAUUCGAUGCAACGCGUAGAACCUUACCUGGGUUUGACAUGGAUCGGGAGUGCUCAGAGAUGGGUGUGCCUCUUUUGGGGUCGGUUCACAGGUGGUGCAUGGCUGUCGUCAGCUCGUGUCGUGAGAUGUUGGGUUAAGUCCCGCAACGAGCGCAACCCUUGUUCACUGUUGCCAGCACGUUAUGGUGGGGACUCAGUGGAGACCGCCGGGGUCAACUCGGAGGAAGGUGGGGAUGACGUCAAGUCAUCAUGCCCCUUAUGUCCAGGGCUUCACGCAUGCUACAAUGGCUGGUACAGAGAGUGGCGAGCCUGUGAGGGUGAGCGAAUCUCGGAAAGCCGGUCUCAGUUCGGAUUGGGGUCUGCAACUCGACCUCAUGAAGUCGGAGUCGCUAGUAAUCGCAGAUCAGCAACGCUGCGGUGAAUACGUUCCCGGG